rnacentral:rRNA from 1 species
AGUGAACGCUGGCGGUAGGCCUAACACAUGCAAGUCGAACGGCAGCACAGUAAGAGCUUGCUCUUACGGGUGGCGAGUGGCGGACGGGUGAGGAAUACAUCGGAAUCUACUUUUUCGUGGGGGAUAACGUAGGGAAACUUACGCUAAUACCGCAUACGACCUACGGGUGAAAGCAGGGGAUCUUCGGACCUUGCGCGAUUGAAUGAGCCGAUGUCGGAUUAGCUAGUUGGCGGGGUAAAGGCCCACCAAGGCGACGAUCCGUAGCUGGUCUGAGAGGAUGAUCAACCACACUGGAACUGAGACACGGUCCAGACUCCUACGGGAGGCAGCAGUGGGGAAUAUUGGACAAAGGGCGCAAGCCUGAUCCAGCCAUACCGCGUGGGUGGAGAAGGCCUUCGGGUUGUAAAGCCCUUUUGUUGGGAAAGAAAAGCAGCAGGUUAAUACCCCGCUGUUCUGACGGUACCCAAAGAAUAAGCACCGGCUAACUUCGUG